rnacentral:rRNA from 1 species
UACGAAGGGGGCUAGCGUUGCUCGGAAUCACUGGGCGUAAAGCGCACGUAGGCGGACUUUCAAGUCAGGGGUGAAAUCCCGGGGCUCAACCUCGGAAUUGCCUUUGAUACUGUAGGUCUCGAGUCCGGAAGAGGUGGGUGGAAUUCCUAGUGUAGAGGUGAAAUUCGUAGAUAUUAGGAAGAACACGGUGGCGAAGGCGGCCCACUGGUCCGGUACUGACGGCUGAGGUGCGAAAGCGUGGGGAGCAA